ensembl:lncRNA
CCCUUCCUAGACCUUGUUUAAGGGCUGGCAGUAGAGGUGAGGGUCUCUCUCUCUCUCUUAGGAGAUCUCUGUGUACCUGAGACCUGCUAAAGAUGAGAAGGACAGGGCUAGGACACCCUCUAAGGAAGAUGAGGAAGCCUGCUCAUUCCAGCAGAGAGUGAGAUAAGCUAACAGGGAGACUUCUUUGAGGAGCAGGAACCAAGCAGCACAGUCAAGGACUUUGGAGGAUUGGUAACUUUCCAGGAGGACUCUGGCUGAUUUGCAUCCCCAUUACUGAAAUCAUCAUGGUUUAACAAACCAAAAGGAAAGCAGUGUCUUGGGCACUGGUAGCACCCUUAUGAUAGCAGGGCCACUGAGUCUAUAUUAUGGUUAAGUGAAGAGCUGUUUUGUGUGAUGAACACAUUCAUCUGUGUUUGAUAAGGGUAUUUAGUGGAUAAAAAUGCAUUUUUUUAGCUGUGUAAACUUUUUUGAUGAUGCUAUAUGAAUUUGUUCCCCACUUGUUAAGAACUGUGAAAGUAUGUAAAAGAAAGAGAUCAUCUUUUCCUCACAGCCAUUUCUUAGCAUAGAUUCUAAUUUCUUCUCAUAGUUGCAUUACUCAGCAAAAAGUCUCUUUCAAUUCUUUCAAUUUAAUCAAUUCUAUUUUUCAUUCCUUAUGAUAUAAGAAAGUGUCUUUUGUUCUUGUCUUCAUUCCUAUACUUUCUUUAUUAACAUACCUGGGAAGUCUAAGACAUAAUUAUGAUCUAAGCAUUGGUUUAAUGAGAGUUUUCCCUUGGAAUUUCUGUUUUCAUAGGUGCUGUGAAUUGUGAAAGGGUUCCACAGUUUGUUAUGUUCAUCUACCUGGGGUAUCUGUUGCUCUUCCCUGAUGUCAUAAACUAGAAGCAGCACUGAGAUUCUUUCCUGUGUUCUGAGUUCCCAUCUGGAUACAAAUUCCUUUAUUAUUUGUUGACCCAUGAAACUCUCACUACGAGCAGCUACUGGUAAAGAGAAAUCCUGUUAUGUUCCAUGUCAGUCUCCUGGGUACUUUGAAAUUUCUUACUUACAAAACAAAAUUCCUUCAAAAAGCCCAAGUGCCUUUUCUUCUUCAGAAUUAGGAACUCAGUUGCUGUGCUUAUUGGCAAGGGAAAAUAUUACUGUGGUUAUGUAAAUCAUUGAAACAUGGAUUAUUGGAGCGUUAAAAUCUCUCUCAACUUAUUCCGAUGUUAGGAAUUAAGUAUGACAUCUACAAAUGUAUCUGGAAUAGGUAAUUUCUGGGAUACAGCUGUAUAAAUGUGAAAAUUGCUACUAAAAUAUUUCCAUAAGGAAAGCAUGGUAAAUUGAAGAACGACUGCUGUUUAAAAAUUACAUCCCUUUCUAAAGUGUGGUUCUGAAAUAUUGAUAAUCUGCAUGGAAGAGACUUCAAACAAUCUGCCUGCUACUUUUAUCUUUUUAACAAAGUAAAACUGAUAAAAGAGUGAUGCUAACAAUUGAUUUUAAAACUGAGGGUAAUAACCUUUUAUGUCUAAUGCAUUUAAAUAAAUAUAAUU